UACGGAGGGUGCAAGCGUUAAUCGGAAUUACUGGGCGUAAAGCGCACGCAGGCGGUUUGUUAAGUCAGAUGUGAAAUCCCCGGGCUCAACCUGGGAACUGCAUCUGAUACUGGCAAGCUUGAGUCUCGUAGAGGGGGGUAGAAUUCCAGGUGUAGCGGUGAAAUGCGUAGAGAUCUGGAGGAAUACCGGUGGCGAAGGCGGCCCCCUGGACGAAGACUGACGCUCAGGUGCGAAAGCGUGGGGAGCAAACAGGAUUAGAUACCCGCGUAGUCC
rnacentral:rRNA from 1 species